UACGUAGGGGGCUAGCGUUGUCCGGAAUCAUUGGGCGUAAAGCGCGCGUAGGCGGCCCGGUAAGUCCGCUGUAAAAGUCAAAGGCUCAAACCUUUGAAUGUCAGUGGAUACUGCCGGGCUAGAGUCCGGAAGAGGCGAGUGGAACUCCUGGUGUAGCGGUGGAAUGCGCAGAUAUCAGGAAGAACACCGACGGCGAAGGCAGCUCACUGGCCCGAUACUGACGCUGAUGCGCGAAAGCGUGGAGAGCAAACGGGG
rnacentral:rRNA from 1 species